rnacentral:rRNA from 1 species
UACAGAGGGGGCUAGCGUUGUUCGGAAUUACUGGGCGUAAAGGGCUCGUAGGCGGCCAACUAAGUCAGACGUGAAAUCCCUCGGCUUAACCGGGGAACUGCGUCUGAUACUGGAUGGCUUGAGUUCGGGAGAGGGAUGCGGAAUUCCAGGUGUAGCGGUGAAAUGCGUAGAUAUCUGGAGGAACACCGGUGGCGAAGGCGGUUCUCUGGGCGAUUACCUGACGCUGAGGAGCGAAAGUGUGGGGAGCGAACAGG